rnacentral:rRNA from 1 species
GACGAACGCUGGCGGCGUGCUUAACACAUGCAAGUCGAACGGUGAAGCGCCUUCCUUUUUGGUGGGUGUGGAUGAGUGGCGAACGGGUGAGUAACACGUGAGUAACCUGCCCCCUUCUUCUGGAUAACCGCAUGAAAGUGUGGCUAAUACGGGAUAUUCUGGGUCUGUCGCAUGAUGGGUCUGGGAAAGAUAUUGUUUCGGUGGGGGAUGGGCUCGCGGCCUAUCAGCUUGUUGGUGGGGUGAUGGCCUACCGAGGCGGUGACGGGUAGCCGGCCUGAGAGGGUGGACGGUCACACUGGGACUGAGACACGGCCCAGACUCCUACGGGAGGCAGCAGUGGGGAAUAUUGCACAAUGGGCGCAAGCCUGAUGCAGCGACGCCGCGUGAGGGAUGGAGGCCUUCGGGUGGUGAACCUCUUUCGCCAGUGAAGCAGGCCUGCCUCGUUUGUGGGUGGGUUGACGGUAGCUGGAUAAGAAGCGCCGGCUAACUACGU